GAUGAACGCUGGCGGCGUGCCUAAUACAUGCAAGUCGAGCGAACGGACGAGAAGCUUGCUUCUCUGAUGUUAGCGGCGGACGGGUGAGUAACACGUGGAUAACCUACCUAUAAGACUGGGAUAACUUCGGGAAACCGGAGCUAAUACCGGAUGAUAUUUUGAACCGCAUGGUUCAAAAGUGAAAGACGGUCUUGCUGUCACUUAUAGAUGGAUCCGCGCUGCAUUAGCUAGUUGGUAAGGUAACGGCUUACCAAGGCAACGAUGCAUAGCCGACCUGAGAGGGUGAUCGGCCACACUGGAACUGAGACGCGGUCCAGACUCCUACGGGAGGCAGCAGUAGGGAAUCUUCCGCAAAGGGCGAAAGCCUGACGGAGCAACGCCGCGUGAGUGAUGAAGGUCUUCGGAUCGUAAAACUCUGUUAUUAGGGAAGAACAUAUGUGUAAGUAACUGUGCACAUCUUGACGGUACCUAAUCAGAAAGCCACGGCUAACUACGUG
rnacentral:rRNA from 1 species